rnacentral:rRNA from 1 species
AUGACCAUGAUUACGCCAAGCUUGGUACCGAGCUCGGAUCCACUAGUAACGGCCGCCAGUGUGCUGGAAUUCGCCCUUCAGGCCUAACACAUGCAAGUCGAACGGGAUUUAUCAGCUUGCUGAUAAUGAGAGUGGCGCACGGGUGAGUAACGCGUAUGCAACCUACCUUUUACAGUGGGAUAGCCCAGAGAAAUUUGGAUUAAUACCGCAUAGUAUGCACGAUCGGCAUCGGUUGUGUAUUAAACAUUUAUGGGUAAGAGAUGGGCAUGCGUUCUAUUAGUUAGUUGGAGUGGUAACGGCACCCCAAGACAGCGAUAGAUAGGGGCCCUGAGAGGGGGAUCCCCCACACUGGUACUGAGACACGGACCAGACUCCUACGGGAGGCAGCAGUGAGGAAUAUUGGACAAUGGGCGCAAGCCUGAUCCAGCCAUGCCGCGUGCAGGAAGACGGCCCUAUGGGUUGUAAACUGCUUUUAUACAGGAAGAAACACCCCCACGUGUGGGGGCUUGACGUACUGAGGAAUAAGAUCGGCA